UACGGCCACAUCACUUUGUAACAUCGGUUCCCCUACGAUCACCAAAGUUAAGCAACGUCGAACCCUGGUCAGUACUUAGAUGGGUCACCGCCUGGGAAUACCAGGUGCUGCAA